UCUGUUGUAGCCUAGUUGGUUAGGAUACUUGGCUCUCACUCUAAAAACCUAGGUUCAAAUCCUGGCAACGAAA
rnacentral:tRNA from 1 species